rnacentral:rRNA from 1 species
CGGAGGGUGCGAGCGUUGUCCGGAAUCAUUGGGCGUAAAGGGCGCGUAGGUGGCCCGGUCAGCGUGCGGUGAAAGCUCGGGGCUCAACCCCGAGUCGGCCGUGCGAACUGCUGGGCUUGAGCACUGUAGAGGCAGGCGGAAUUCCGGGUGUAGCGGUGGAAUGCGUAGAGAUCCGGAAGAACACCGGUGGCGAAGGCGGCCUGCUGGGCAGUGGCUGACACUGAGGCGCGACAGCGUGGGGAGCAAACAGGAUUAGAUACCCUGGUAGUCCACGCCGUAAACGAUGGGCACUAGGCGCUUGGGGGAGCGACCCUCCGAGGGCCGGCGCUAACGCAUUAAGUGCCCCGCCUGGGGAGUACGGCCGCAAGGCUG